CCUAUCCAUCCGUCGCAUAUCUUUUCAUCCACCCAUUUAUCCAUUAUGUCUUUAUCUUUCAUGAUUAUUAUUUCUGCCACUACUUCUUCCCUGGCUGAAAUUGUUGUGCGUGGAGGAAAGCUCCAGCUGGUGCCACUUUUUGCCGAGGGUUAUCACUAGAGUGCCGUGCAGGGUGUGCGCCUUUUCCCCAAGGCUUUAUGCCAGACGCUGUUAGACCGGGGAUAUUUAUGGAUUAGUUUACCCUUCAGUUGAUGAAUCCAUUUGUCCCUUUAGGCAAUUACAUAUUUCAGUUAUGGUCUUUAUGUGAUUUAAAUCUUUGAGAUCAGGCUUCCCUUUAUUCCUCUUAGUUCCCUGUUGACGUCCCAAACUCUGAAAACAUGAUAGAUCAUCUGUGUCUCACAAUUGUUAAACGUGCCUAUAAAUAAACUCUCCCCAACAUAUGGUGUUCCUUUUUGCUUUCCUUUCUUCUUUUCUAGAUUAAUUCAUUCCACAAACUUUUACUGACCACCUAUUAUUGCAUGGACUCUACUAGGUGAUAGAUACAAAGAUGAGGACUCCAUGUCUGUCUUUUGGGUUGCUAGCUUUGAAGAGGAUCACAACACAAUAUGGAUUCGGGAGUGUAACCAGGAAUGUAAUUAGGAACGCAAUGCGGAGGAAGGGCAAGGCCUGUCCCUGUCUUCUUCAGCUGCUGUGUGGUGCCAGAUGCCACACUGAUGCCCAGCACCUUCCUCUCCCAGCCCCCGCCUGGGACUUGGCACCCGGAUUGGUGCCAGCACCAGCCCAUGACUAGACUGUGGUCCAGGCCGGCGAGUCCAGGACGAGAGCAUAUUUGUCUCCAAACCAGCAUCUUCUAAUGAAAAGAAACAGCAGUUUAAAAUCAUCUGAUCAAGAGCUGAUCCUUCAUGUUCCUAGGCACUGGGUGAAGCAGGGAGAUGCUCAUUAGUGCCUCUGUGCAAUACUGGGGAUCACUGACUCCCUGAAUAGAGUGGCUGCCAUCGUAAUGGAGAGAUUUAUCUUUUCAUAGGUUUGAACCACAAUGACUCAAAACCACUCUGUUUGACAGAAAGACAUUCUUCUUUUUAAAGUUGUGCUUGCAACAUGGCUAUGCGAUGCAAUAUCUUUUGAUGUUGAUGUUUUAGUUUAAUUUGGUUUAGAGUUUCAGCUAAAACAUAAACUAAGAGACGUUGGAAAAGACCUUGGUUUGAAAGACCUACCCUCCUCUUCAGUGGACUGGAUCUGAUGCUCCCUGUUGGUGUGGGAGGAGAGGUUAAACCCGGAGAGUUCACUUCCUACGUGGCUGCAGCCUAGGACUAGUUAACAUUUGCACCUCAGCUGUGGGGCACUGAUGGGGUGUGACAGGAGAAAGAUUCAAGGAGGGAGACGUAUUUCCACAAGAAAAGAUAUUCUUCUCCACCCCUUUAGGGAAAGAUACGAUAUUUCCAACGGGGAUACAGAGAAGAAGAUGCCUGGGGUGAUGGGGCCAACCUGCCAAUAGGAUAGCUAGCUUAAAAGUCCAGGGAUCCCACUUCUGAAGGGUGGAUAUCUUGUGAGAUACAAGGAAAAGUCCAAAUUCACUAGAAAUAUGCCACUUUGUCAACUACAGUAAAACUUGCUUUUGAAAUCGGCCUAUUCCAAGAGUAAAGAAAUUUACGUACACUAUACCAAUACUGGGAGAGCAAAAGAAAUGGGUGACCUCAAGGAGGGGCUAUUCUAGUACCUUCUCCUCCAGUAGAUGAGAGGCACCAAAUAUUUAAGGAACUAUGCCUUAGAGUUCUAAGCCACGACAGGGAG